ACACACACACACACACACACACACACACACACACACACACACAAACACACACACACACACACACACACACACACAAACACACACGGCAUAAAUGAUUUUUAUACCGUGUACACACUGCAUGCGUGCAACUAUACUCUGAUAACAAACCAAUCAGACUGAAAUAGCUUUCGUCUGUUGUAUUUAUCUGAAACUGAGCUUACUGUCUACUGAAUGCUUAAGAAGCUUAAUGAGGAGAGUCUUCCUAACAGAGUAAGAGAAACGCUAUUGUAAUCCAGGGGUGUACUCAUUACACGAACAGAUACAGAAACGCUGGUAGGGAGUCACAAGCAAUAAUUGUUAUCAGAACGCAAACAUGUGAGUGGAUUAGCGCAUUGCUGGCUGUUUGUUUGUAAUCGGUUAUCCUAACUAUGUAGCUCAACUGGAUAGCAAAGAUAUGCGUACGUUUUACAUUGCUUGUUUGAUUUAUGACUUACAACGGUUAUAUCAAAGACAGCACCGUUUCAACAUUUUCUUACAAUUUGAAUAAAUGGAUGUUGUAUACUGUAUACGUUUGCAACUGUGGUAAAAGCUAUUUUCUAAGAAAAUCAAAACGGUCUUCGGUUGUUUCUCCUCAUGAAAACACUUUUACAUCGAGGCUUACUGAUGUAAGAAAAGCGAAAGUGCAAUUCAAAAUAAUUGAAAUGCACAACUCAAUAAAUAGAAUUACAAGUUGCACAACAAGACGGAAAAUUAUAAUUUUAUGAGAUCACCCUAAAAGUCCCAACUUAAGAUAUAAAAUGUAGCUAUUCUGGACAUCGUAUCAGUUCACUCUUUGUUUCAAGAAGGGCAACAAAGGUAGGAUAGAUGUAUUUUGCAUCAUUCAGACAAAUUGCUGCUGCUAAAAUUAUUCGUACUUUUGGUUUUCAGUUACCAAAGAUUGUGAUUUGGGUUUUUUACAAUGACGUACUGCGCGUCCUGUGGAAAAAAUCAUGUCCAUCUCUACUAUUGCCACAAUUGCCGCCGCUAUACAUGCGGAAAAUGCCGCACAAAUUUGUCAAAAUGCUCUCACUGCGGGAAAUUCACAACAAAAAAGCGUUAUUGAACAAGACGUCCGUGACUAAUGCUGAAAUUUUUGAUUAGAAAUUCGGCGUGUGUCUAAGACUUCAUGCGUGCGUAGAAUUUGUGGGUUUAUGUUAGAUGAUAGAUAAGCUUUUGACGCGAUUGUUAGUUGCUCCUAGAGCAGAUCGUGUUAGAAAGUGUAGUAGUCAUUGUCAUUACGUCAUAAAUAUCAUAACUACGUUGGUCUCGUUUGUUUACACGGUCGGUGAAUGGCUCAUCUGCAUGUAGAUUGUGCCACAUGCUGCUGUCAGACAGUGGGCGGACAAAAGCAGACACGAUUCAAAGACAAUCUGAUACGGUGACAAGUGAUAAUUUGAACUCAUCUCUAGGAAUCUUAGAAUGGAUAUGACCGUCAGACGCAACGCUUUGUAUCAGUGUUUCGACUACGUAGAUAUAAUCUAGCCGAAGGCAUUACUGUUUGCCAAAGAAAAGGAGCCUAACUGUACGAGACAUUGAAAAAGCAAAAGGGAUGGUUACCAAUCGUUUCUACAGUUGCUCGCAGCAAGGUUUUUGGUUUACAGCUAUUGCAGAAGCAAUUCUAGACCGUUAAUGGCUAGAAGAGAUGCUCAUUUCAAAUCAGUGAAGACAUGUGCAAUGGUUAUCUUCAUCUCCAAAGGUCAUUGCUAAAACACAACAUCAAAGCAAACUGUAGUAUCUGUCAAUAGUUGUUGGAAGAAGAGCAAAAACGCGUAACCUAAACUGUCUUUCUUGUCUAUACCUGUUAUGCCUGAGUGCCCUAGAUGUAACACAUUUUGUCAAGUGCCUUUCAGGUAUUGCAAUAGUUGUAGAACAACGCUCUGCCUACGUUGCUGCAGCUGGAAUAUUGUUAUUUGCCCUAAUUGUGGACAGAAUACAUAUCGGAUUACUUAUAGACUGUCGUAACAAACUACACAACAAUAAUGCAGAACCAAUUGUGUAUUGAACUUUGCGUAGGCAUGAAAUGUAGCAUAUGUCAAUGUAGACGGUAUUUUGAGAAAUGUUGUUAUUGUGCAAGCUAAUUGUGGUUGUUGCUAGAUUUAAAGAAGCCAUUGCAACAUAUAUCAGUCUUGGCAUUGCAUCAAUAUUGAAUUGCAUUCUGGAACCAAGCCUGUAGCUGCUUGCUUCUGGAAUUGGUUAGAGAGAUUUCAGUAAUCUUGCUCGGUUAGUGCUUCUUCUCAUCGCACAGCCGCCUUUCUUGGUGUUUUGAAACUGGACUUUCAUUUGUACCUCUUGCGGUUAACUUCACGGCGGCAUGCCAAACAAGGUACACAAUAUGAUUACAAUAUGAGUUACAAAAUAUUUUGCAUUCACGAACUUGGAAAUGAAGUCUUGCUGAUUAUGGAGCAAGAACAAUUAGAGCAACAGCCUUUGUAGUACCUCUUGUCACUUGUCUACAAUUCAGCUAUCGUUGGCAGUCAUUGAAUAUUUCAACGCAAUGCUGAAGUCUAAUCUUUGAAACAAAACCGUUGUUUGUAUCUGUUGUGAUAACUAUGCAAUAGCAAUCAGCCCCACAC